UGGAGAUAGAAGGCCCACGGGUCUUGAACUUCUAUUCUCGGAGAAGAAGCAAUGACGGUAUCCAAGGAAUAAGCAUCGGCUAACUCUGUGCCAACAGCCACGGUAAGACAGAGGAUGC
rnacentral:ncRNA from 1 species